AGAGUUUGAUCCUGGCUCAGAACGAACGCUGGCGGCAGGCUUAACACAUGCAAGUCGAACGUGAAGCAGGAGCUUGCUCCUGUGGAAAGUGGCAGACGGGUGAGUAACGCGUGGGAAUUUACCCAGUGGUUCGGAAUAACUCCGGGAAACGGGAGCUAAUACCGGAUACGCCCUUCGGGGGAAAGAUUUAUCGCCAUUGGAUGAGCCCGCGUCGGAUUAGCUUGUUGGUGAGGUAAAAGCUCACCAAGGCGACGAUCCGUAGCUGGUCUGAGAGGAUGAUCAGCCACACUGGGACUGAGACACGGCCCAGACUCCUACGGGAGGCAGCAGUGGGGAAUAUUGCGCAAUGGGGGAAACCCUGACGCAGCCAUGCCGCGUGAGUGAAGAAGGCCUUAGGGUUGUAAAACUCUUUCACCGGUGAAGAUAAUGACGGUAGCCGGAGAAGAAGCCCCGGCCAACUCCGUGCCAGCAGCCGCGGUAAUACGGAGGGGGCUAGCGUUGUUCGGAUUUACUGGGCGUAAAGCGCGCGUAGGCGGGCUGGUCAGUUGGGGGUGAAAUCCCGAGGCUCAACCUCGGAACUGCCCUCAAUACUGCCAGUCUUGAGUUCGAGAGAGGUGAGUGGAAUUCCUAGUGUAGAGGUGAAAUUCGUAGAUAUUAGGAAGAACACCAGUGGCGAAGGCGGCUCACUGGCUCGAUACU
rnacentral:rRNA from 1 species